GAUGAACGCUGGCGGCGUGCCUAAUACAUGCAAGUCGAGCGAACAGACGAGGAGCUUGCUCCUCUGACGUUAGCGGCGGACGGGUGAGUAACACGUGGAUAACCUACCUAUAAGACUGGGAUAACUUCGGGAAACCGGAGCUAAUACCGGAUAAUAUAUUGAACCGCAUGGUUCAAUAGUGAAAGACGGUUUUGCUGUCACUUAUAGAUGGAUCCGCGCCGCAUCAGCUAGUUGGUAAGGUAACGGCUUACCAAGGCGACGAUGCGUAGCCGACCUGAGAGGGUGAUCGGCCACACUGGAACUGAGACACGGUCCAGACUCCUACGGGAGGCAGCAGUAGGGAAUCUUCCGCAAUGGGCGAAAGCCUGACGGAGCAACGCCGCGUGAGUGAUGAAGGUCUUCGGAUCGUAAAACUCUGUUAUUAGGGAAGAACAAAUGUGUAAGUAACUAUGCACGUCUUGACGGCACCUAAUCAGAAAGCCACGGCUAACUACGUG
rnacentral:rRNA from 1 species